AGGUAUGUACAUGUAUACAUCUACAUCUUGAUUGGGUAUGUAUACAUCUUUAUAUUUCUUUAGCCAAGAUGAUAAUGGACAUUGGUGAUCCAACAGUAGACUUGCAGUACCGGUAUUUGAUUUGCUCAAGACUUAUUUGUCUAAAGACUGUUGAGAAAAUGAAGAUGCGCAAAAUACAAUCUUAGGACAUGUUGGGGACAUUGCGGCACCCACAGAUGAUCAUGACAUACUUCAAAAUAAUGUAUUAUAUCACUUUGUAUAGAGUGCUUAACCUUGUAGUUUACUUACA